rnacentral:rRNA from 1 species
ACUNCUACGGGAGGCAGCAGUGAGGAAUAUUGGUCAAUGGGCGCAAGCCUGANCCAGCCACGUCGCGUGAAGGAAGNCGGCCCUACGGGUUGUAAACUUCUUUUGUAAGGGAAUAAAGUGCAGUACGCGUACUGUUUUGCAUGUACCUUACGAAUAAGGAUCGGCUAACUCCGUGCCAGCAGCCGCGGUAAUACGGAGGAUCCGAGCGUUAUCCGGAUUUAUUGGGUUUAAAGGGUGCGCAGGCGGGAGAUUAAGUCGGCGGUGAAAUUUUGCAGCUCAACUGUAAAAGUGCCUUCGAAACUGGUUUUCUUGAGUGUAGAUGAAGUAGGCGGAAUUUGUGGUGUAGCGGUGAAAUGCAUAGAUAUCACGAGGAACUCCGAUUGCGCAGGCAGCUUACUAAGCUACAACUGACGCUCAGGCACGAAGGCGUGGGGAUCAAACAGGAUUAGAUACCCUGGUAGUCCACGCAGUAAACGAUGAUUACUCGCUGUUUGCGAUAUACAGUAAGCGGCUUAGCGAAAGCGUUAAGUAAUCCACCUGGGGAGUACGUUCGCAAGAAUGAAACUCAAAGGAAUUGACGGGGGCCCGCACAAGCGGAGGAACAUGUGGUUUAAUUCGAUGAUACGCGAGGAACCUUACCCGGGCUUGAAAUGCAUCUGACAGGGGCGGAGACGCCCUCUCCCUUCGGGGCAGAUGUGUAGGUGCUGCAUGGUUGUCGUCAGCUCGUGCCGUGAGGUGUCGGCUUAAGUGCCAUAACGAGCGCAACCCUCAUCAUUAGUUACCAUCAGGUGAAGCUGGGGACUCUAGUGAGACUGCCAUCGUAAGAUGCGAGGAAGGUGGGGAUGACA